rnacentral:sRNA from 1 species
UCUGUUACAUUUUUUAUUUUCUGUAAAUUGCAUUUAAACCACAGUUCUUCCAAGAAGGAUUUCCGUCGUUACCGUACCAUUUUAUUCAGUAUAUUGUUAGCAUUUAUAUACUAUAUUCCUGAUUGCCAUGUGUGGGUACUUUGUUUUGAUUUCAUGUCUGUUUACUCUGUCCCCAGUUAGACUUAAUUCCACAAGGGCAAAGAUCCUAUCUUCUGUUUCAUUGAGACCCUCCCAUUCCUUUCAAUUUUGCACUCUGUGGACAUUUGAGUCAAUCAUCUAUUGACAUGUGAUUCUAGCAGGGUACAGGUGCUUGGCCCUGCCAUGGCAUUUCUCUUAACCUUGUUUCUCAUUUGCCAUCCACCUCAUUUUCUAUAGACCCAAAGCUUAUGAAAGAAGAACAAAUGUCACAGGCCCAGCUCUUCACCAGAAGCUUUGAUGAUGGCCUAGGCUUUGAAUACGUGAUGUUCUACAAUGACGUUGAGAAAAGGAUGGUUUGCUUAUUUCAAGGAGGCCCUUACCUGGAAGGACCACCUGGAUUCAUUCAUGGAGGUGCCAUUGCAACUAUGAUUGAUGCUACUGUUGGUAUGUGUGCAAUGAUGGCUGGGGGAAUUGUCAUGACUGCCAAUCUCAACAUCAAUUAUAAAAGACCUAUCCCUCUUUGUUCUGUUGUUAUGAUAAAUAGCCA